rnacentral:tRNA from 1 species
UUCAGGAUGGCCGAGCGGUCCAAGGCAUCAGACUCAAGUUUGCAAACUUGCUCUGCAAAUGCGCAGCCACAGGGCGUUCUGGUCCACUAAUGUGGGCGUGGGUUCGAAUCCCACUCCUGACA